CUCAUCAAUUAUUGGGAGUGAACUACAUCCACCCUGAUUGAAUUGGCCCUGUCAACACUGCAUCUGGUCUUCAGAGCCGAUCGGUUGCUGGUAUGCAUGUGCCCUCAGUGAUAAGUAUACAUUGUGUGGAGGCAUCAGCAUCAAAGGAGUUCAUAUAAGAUGGGGAGGGUCCUCCAAUUCUACCAAUUGUACCCUGCUAUAACAAAUACCACACAGGCAGUUUUCAAACCAUGUUCUGCGGGAACGACCUCUAGGGACAACUGGAGUUCAGUCUCUAUGGUCCAUUCCAUCACUGGACUCUAAUGAUACUACCAGUUAGAGAUAACUGAACAAUUAGUUUUAUGAUAUUGACUCCUGCCUGCAAAAAUACAAAACAAAAACAAAACUACAACACACUUGCCCUGCAAAGUCAUUUCACUUAAGGAGCCAAAGAGGCAUCAAUUGGUAAUUACUUCUAGCCAGUACAGAGCUGAGAUUGAUUCGAACUGCCAAAUGAGAGGUGAAACAGUCAGUUUAGAAGUGAAAGUCUGUCCCAUAUUCCCAAUCCUCUGAGCCAUCUGGCUUCCCAUGUAUUUUUGUAUUGGGGUGGGGGUGUAUAAAUGGGGGUUGGAUUAAUAAAGAGCUGUGGCUCAGGCCCAAGAAGAGAUAAAAUGUUAAUAAAAACCUUGUUUACUUCUACAAACAUUACAAAGUUGGGGUUCAACAUUGUGUGAUAUGUUAGCAAUAGCUUACCCCUAUUGUAAGAACCACCAUUAGUAACUUUUUCUUAAACAUGUAGAAAGAAGGGGGUGGGGAGAGAGUUAAUGCAUGUGAAACUUAAAAAGUGAAAUAAAAACUCCAUUUUAACAAUUUCCCCUA